rnacentral:tRNA from 1 species
GUUUUAAUAGUUUAAAAAUAAAACUUUGGUCUUGUAAACCAAAAAUGAAAUAAUUUUCUUAAAACU